GAUAAAAUGGCUGAGUAUAGGCAAUAAAUUGUAAAUUUAUUAACGGAUUAAAUCCUUUUAUCA
rnacentral:tRNA from 1 species